rnacentral:rRNA from 1 species
CGUGUAGGCGGGGGGGGGGGGGGGGUCGGCCAAGUCUGAUGUGAAAGCCCGAGGCUCAGCCUCGGAAGUGCGUCGGAAACUAGUCGGCUGGAGCGCGAUAGAGGAGGGUGGAAUUCCUGGUGUAGCGGUGAAAUGCGUAGAUAUCAGGAGGAACACCGGCGGCGAAGGCGGCCCUCUGGAUCGUUGCUGACGCUGAGACGCGAAAGCGUGGGGAGCAAACAGGAUUAGAUACCCUGGUAGUCCACGCUGUAAACGAUGGGUACUAGGUGUUCGGGGUAUUGACCCCCUGAGUGCCGCAGCUAACGCAUUAAGUACCCCGCCUGGGGACUACGGCCGCAAGGUUAAA